rnacentral:rRNA from 1 species
UACGUAGGAAGCAAGCGUUGUCCGGAAUCACUGGGCGUAAAGCGCGUGUAGGCGGUAUGGCAAGUCUGCUGUGAAAGCUCUCGGCUUAACCGGGAGAGGUCGGUGGAAACUGCCACACUGGAGGACGGUAGAGGGGGGUGGAAUUCCCGGUGUAGCGGUGAAAUGCGCAGAUAUCGGGAGGAACACCAAUGGCGAAGGCAGCUCGCUGGGACGUGACUGACGCUGAGACGCGAAAGCGUGGGGAGCAAACAGG